rnacentral:rRNA from 1 species
AACGAACGCUGGCGGCAGGCUUAACACAUGCAAGUCGAGCGCCCCGCAAGGGGAGCGGCAGACGGGUGAGUAACGCGUGGGAACGUACCCUUUGCUACGGAAUAGCUCCGGGAAACUGGAAUUAAUACCGUAUGUGCCCUACGGGGGAAAGAUUUAUCGGCAAAGGAUCGGCCCGCGUUGGAUUAGCUAGUUGGUGGGGUAAUGGCCUACCAAGGCGACGAUCCAUAGCUGGUCUGAGAGGAUGAUCAGCCACAUUGGGACUGAGACACGGCCCAAACGCCGACGGGAGGCAGCAGUGGGGAAUAUUGGACAAUGGGCGCAAGCCUGAUCCAGCCAUGCCGCGUGAGUGAUGAAGGCCUUAGGGUUGUAAAGCUCUUCACCGGAGAAGAUAAUGACGGUAUCCGGAGAAGAAGCCCCGGCUAACUUCGUGCCAGCCGCCGCCGUAAGAC